rnacentral:rRNA from 1 species
CUUGCGCAAUGGGCGAAAGCCUGACGCAGCCAUGCCGCGUGGAUGAUGAAGGUCUUANNNUUGUANACUUCUUUCACCGGGGANGAUNAUGACGGUACCCGGAGAAGAAGCCCCGGCUAACUUCGUGCCAGCAGCCGCGGUAAUACGAAGGGGGCUAGCGUUGCUCGGAAUUACUGGGCGUAAAGGGCGCGUAGGCGGAUCGUUAAGUCAGAGGUGAAAUCCCAGGGCUCAACCCUGGAACUGCCUUUGAUACUGGCGAUCUUGAGUAUGAGAGAGGUAUGUGGAACUCCGAGUGUAGAGGUGAAAUCCGUAGAUAUUCGGAAGAACACCAGUGGCGAAGGCGACAUACUGGCUCAUUACUGACGCUGAGGCGCGAAAGCGUGGGGAGCAAACAG